rnacentral:rRNA from 1 species
AGAGUUUGAUCCUGGCUCAGGAUGAACGCUAGCGACACGCCUAACACAUGCAAGUCGAGGGGUAACAUGAGUGCUUGCACUUGAUGACGACCGGCGCACGGGUGCGUAACGCGUAUGCAACUUACCUUGUACUGGGGAAUAGCCCGUGGAAACGCGGAUUAAUGUCCCAUAACACUACAAUUUCGCAUGGAAAAGUGGUUAAAGUUCCGACGGUACAAGAUGGGCAUGCGUGACAUUAGCUAGUUGGUGAGGUAAUGGCUCACCAAGGCGACGAUGUCUAGGGGUUCUGAGAGGAAGGUCCCCCACACUGGUACUGAGACACGGACCAGACUCCUACGGGAGGCAGCAGUGAGGAAUAUUGGUCAAUGGGCGCAAGCCUGAACCAGCCAUGUCGCGUGCAGGAAGACUGCCCUACGGGUUGUAAACUGCUUUUGUAUGGGAAGAAACGUUGGUACGUGUACCAAUUUGCCGGUACCAUACGAAUAAGGAUCGGCUAACUCCGUGCCAGCAGCCGCGGUAAUACGGAGGAUCCAAGCGUUAUCCGGAUUUAUUGGGUUUAAAGGGUGCGUAGGCGGUAGAAUAAGUCAGUGGUGAAAUCCUGCAGCUUAACUGUAGAACUGCCAUUGAUACUGUUUUACUUGAGUGUAAUUGAGGUAGGCGGAAUGUGUUGUGUAGCGGUGAAAUGCAUAGAUAUAACACGGAACACCGAUUGCGAAGGCAGCUUACUAAGUUAUAACUGACGCUGAUGCACGAAAGCGUGGGUAGCGAACAGGAUUAGAUACCCUGGUAGUCCACGCCGUAAACGAUGAUUACUCGCUGUAGGCAAUACACCGUCUGUGGCUGAGCGAAAGCAUUAAGUAAUCCACCUGGGGAGUACGUUGGCAACAAUGAAACUCAAAGGAAUUGACGGGGGCCCGCACAAGCGGAGGAACAUGUGGUUUAAUUCGAUGAUACGCGAGGAACCUUACCUGGACUUAAAUGUAGAUUGACGUAUCCAGAGAUGGAUAUUUCUUCGGACAAUUUACAAGGUGCUGCAUGGUUGUCGUCAGCUCGUGCCGUGAGGUGUCGGGUUCAGUCCCAUAACGAGCGCAACCCCUGUUGUUAGUUACCAGCACAUCAUGGUGGGGACUCUAACAAGACUGCCGGUGUAAACCGCGAGGAAGGUGGGGAUGACGUCAAAUCAGCACGGCCCUUACGUCCAGGGCUACACACGUGUUACAAUGGCCGGUACAGAGGGCAGCUACUUGGUGACAAGAUGCGAAUCUCAAAAACCGGUCUCAGUUCGGAUCGAAGUCUGCAACCCGACUUCGUGAAGCUGGAUUCGCUAGUAAUCGCAUAUCAGCCAUGAUGCGGUGAAUACGUUCCCGGGCCUUGUAC